GUAACAAAUUUCUGUAGUUUUCACAGCAUUAUUACUGUAAAAUGAGCAAAUGCUUACUGUAGAACUUGUAUACAGCAUGUUGCUGUAGAUCUGCAAAGCAUCAUGGUCUUUUUUCAACGGCGGGUAAAUUCUACAGUAAAAAUAUUUUUCCUGUGAAUCACAAUACAGCAAUUUCUAAAGGAUUUUUUUCUUCAGCCAAGGAAAGCUACGAGAUUCCACACUUUCAUCUGAAUUUUUACUUCAGAAAGGGUUGAUGACGUAUGCGAGUGCGACCUCCGCAGACCGCAGGCUGAAACCAGUCUCUCGAGCUGAAAGAAAACGCAGCUGAGGAGAUAUGAGGAAACUUCCACCUACAGUAAGCAGAUGCUGAGGCCCAGAUUUCCAUGCUAAGCACUCCAAGGCUCAUCAUGCUCGGAGAGUCCAAUCUGAGGGCAAAAAAUGGAUGCUUUCCAUCGAGUGCUGAGUUCUCCUCCAAUUGAGUGACGGUUGUGAUUUCACUUCGCUCUAGCCUUUUUGCGUCAUACUAUGUAUGAGGCAGCCACUACAUUGGGAUUUAUCCAGAGGGUAGAGUCCAGCCCAGGAAGUCAACUAGUUCAUGUCCAGAUUUAAAAGAAUAAUAUUUCUGAAAAAAAGGUCUUGGAGAAAAACAAUAUUCAGGUUUGAAAUCCUGCUGUAAAUGUAAAUCAUUUAACUUUUAUGCAUUUGUAAUUUACCAGAAACUUUUUAAUAAAUAUUGAUUGUUUUGUGUGUUCAGAAAAAAAGUGUUUUUGUAUGUUCAGAAAAGUGUUGAAAUUAAAUGAAACAUUCACAGAAAAAUGUUAACAUAUUUAAAAAAAAAUGUAUAUGUUCAGAAAAGUUUUGAGAUGUUCACAGAAAAAAUGUAACACAAAAAAUGUAUGCUAUGCUAUUUUUAAUUUAUGAAUUUUUGUAAUUUAAAGUGAUAAAAUAAAUGGCAUUUUUGUGACAAA